CUGCGCAUCACCUUCAAAUUCACCAGAUGCAUAUUCCCGCAGCAGUCCUGACUCUUACGGCUUCCACAUGUCUUGUUUUUGCUAGCCACUGUGCGAGAUUAUCUGGCACCAGCGUCGUGUGGCUGAGCUCCUUUGUGGCAUUGCUGACCUUCUUGGCGCGGUUCCCACGCGCCCUUCGGUCGAAGGCAGCAGUGUGUGACACUCCUCGUCACAAAAGCCGCUUGCUCUCUGCUGGAGCAUGUGCACUUUUUUGUCUAAGCGCCACCUACGGGCUGGCCACACUCGGCGCUUUACGUUUCGCGUGUGCCUGCGCCUGCGCCGCUGGCGCCGAUCAUAUUGCUCGAACGCGAAGAAGCUCGCGAAAUGCAAAGAUGGCUUGUACGGCUCUCAGUUGCGUCAUCCUGGCUCUGACAUCCGAUCCAGGCCAAGAAACUCGCCCAUUCAUACUCUUUGGAGCGUUAGGGGUUCUUUGCGCGGCUUGUGCGAUUUCUCUCUCCACGAAAGACGUACUGAAAAAAGCUGAUCAAACAGCUUUUCUUUUGGCUGCUUGUGGUCUAAGUCUUGUGGGUUUCAUUGCAACACUUGUGCAGCACAAGCCGAUAGUCGAGAAUGAAAUGCUGCUGUUACUAGUGUUCUGUGUUUCCGGCAUUGUUUUGGCGGGCUGUGUCAAUGCAGGCCUGGUGUUGCAGGGGAACGCUUUCACUUUUGUGGCUGCGGCCGCUGGUAUGUCAGCUGGAUCAGUAGUUUGCGGUGAAAAAGUGUUUCCUGCUGUGUACGACUGGGAAAGCCUUGCUUUGCUAACCUCGGCCGGUCUUAUUUUUGCUGCGCACAAAGGUCUGACUUUUGCAGACUCGUCUGUAGCAUCACUGAGUGGUGUCUCCCUUAGCCCAACGCAGAUGCUGAAGACAAAGCAGCACCGCGAGGAAAGCGGCAUUAUUGUCAGCUUACUCUCUAAUUCAAGGGAGCGCAAGCUUUUUGUUUUUCUUUUGUUGACUGUUGGCAUAAUGCUUUUAGAGCUCAUUUACGGUCUUGCAGUGAAUUCUCUCGGACUGAUUUCAGAUUCAUUUCAUAUGAUGCUUGAUGGAGCGUCGAUUAUCAUUGGACUGUACGCGGCGCACGCUGCGUCGUGGCUACCAGACGAAAAAACGCAUCCCUUCGGCUACGGACGAUACGAAGUUUUCGGAGGAUUUGUAAAUGGCAUUCUUCUUCUUUUUAUUGCUUUGUAUGUGAUGGUUGAAUCCAUACAGCGAUUUCUGAACCCGCCCGAAAUCGAGGGACCGUACUUGCUUCUUGUUUCCGUGAUCGGGCUAGCCGUGAACGUGGUGGGCAUUAUCUUUUUUCACGAUUCGCAUGGUCAUAGUCACUCGCAUUCGCACGGGGAAGCUGGUAGUGGUCAUGUGGACCACAACAUGCGGGGUGUUUAUCUACAUAUUCUGGCGGAUUUGCUAGGUAGUGUUAGUGUAAUUAUUUCGAGUAUAUUGAUUUAUCUGUUUGGACUCUGGAUUGCGGAUCCAAUUUGUAGCGCUAUGAGCGCCAUCCUAGUUCUGCUCUCGGCGUUUCCGCUGCUCGAGGAAACGGGAAAAGUUCUUCUGCUAUCUGCACCGAAUCAUGAAAGCAACUAUUGCGAUAAAUUACGCGAAGCUUUACUUGCUACAUCUUUGUUGCAAGAUGUCGAAUCUCCAAAGCUAUGGAUACACUCGACUCCUCCGCGUGAACUCACAAUUUGUACUGUGGCAGGCAAACUACGCAAUAGUACCGAGUACACAAGCGCGCGAAAAAAGAUUACGGAAACAGUAACGGCUCAUAUGAUGCACCAUUUAGAUGUUCAUAAUGUUAGUUUUGUGUUGCACCUGGAGUAACGCAGUUGACUUUUUUAGCGUUACUUUAUUUCCCAGUAUGAGGCUGCGUAUUGUUUUCCCCUUUUGUUCUUGUUAGCAUUUUACUGUGCGCUCUAUUUAAAAUGAUUAUUUUUGCUCUCCCCCGAGAUAUGUGACUGGCUCAUGUCAUAUGUUUUAUGUGCUUUGAAAAUGCUCGGAAAGAAAAGCAGAGGGGGGAAAACGAGGAGGUUACAGAUUUGUUUGCGACCUCUGUUAUUGCCACCUUUUUUUUUUGACCGUUGGAUUUUCAUUUUACACACACCCACACGCACACACCCGCAAAAAAAAAAAUGAUUUAUGACUUGUCCUUAUCAGCAUUUUUUUUUCACUACCGUGACAAAAAAAAGGUCUCCCUAC
rnacentral:misc_RNA from 1 species